rnacentral:lncRNA from 1 species
UGAGGUUCAACUAAUUUCAUCCACUAUUUCAUAUAAUGUUACCAGUCAAAGAAAGUAAUGCGUUUUGAAAAAGAAAUGCGUUUUGUCUAGUUAAUCUCUUUAGUUGUGUUAACUCUAGAUUACUCUGUAGCUUUUCACCUUUUUUCUGUUUGUGAAAUUUUCAAUUUGGUUGUUUAUAAAACUAAAAGUAGUUGUUUAGAUAUGGGGUAGAUCAGAAGAAAAAACCGCCGCUAGAGAAAACCCUAAGCGCCGCUAGAGAAAAAAAAACGAUCCUUGCUUUCUUCUUCUCCGGUGGCCGGCGAGCUUCGUCGGUGCCGUGAGAAGGCUUUUAGUGUAUGUUUUUUGUUGUGUCUGUAGUCUGAGCUGAAGCUAUUGAUAUCCUUGAAGAUCUGUGGGUUUAGAUCUGACCUCGAUUUCUCCUUGUAUCUGGUUUGGGUAGUUUAAUCAGAUUCGUAGCUUGUUCUGGUGCGCGGUGUAGGUUAUGCCGGCUCUGAUGUGGGGUGGUACUUCUUCCAUCGGAUCUGGAUAGGCAGAAGACUCAGCUAGUUCUUGGAAAAUUGUCAAGCUUAUCUCUUCUCAUGUCUAUGUUUUGGUAUGUCGUUUGGUCUCAGUCUCGGGUAGUUGUUUAGUCUGUGUUCUCUGUUCUGUGGUCUUCAUCCAACACCUGCCGAUAUGAGUUUGGUUCUACAUCAAGGUAGCCGGUUCCGGUGUGAUCUUGUGUAGCUUCAUCCUGAGGCUGCUCUGUGGAGGCAAUUCGAGGGAGUGUAGCGGAUUAUGUUAAAGAUGUUGAAUUUGCGGUUAAAAAAGGUGAACAAGGUUUCUUCAGCUCGUUAGAGUUUGAUGGGUCUUUCGGCUGUUUAAAGAUGGCUUCCUUCAUGUUCUAGAGUAGUGUUUUAUACUGCUUUGGAUUGUGGGUUGGUUGUUUCUUGAGGCGUUCGUAUGCGUAUGGCCUCGUCGUUCGAUCUCAGUGCUUGGUUUAUAUAUCUUCAGUGGGUGAAGCUUCUGUGUUGCGUAGAUGUGCUGUCCCUUGUUUUGAAACCAACGGGUUUUCUGAAUUAGGUUGUAAGGGGCUUUGGAGCUGUGGCUCAAUUGCGUGUUGUCUUGGAGUAGUUAAUUGCCAACCAUCGUCUUCUUUGGCUGCUCGAGAUGUAGAUUUGUUCUCUGGUGGCUUCUUGUUGAAGAAGCAGCUUGUGUGUUGUGGUUUGUUAGGUUUCCAGAGGGAAACCGUUCUUGGAGAUCAUCUUCCAACUCUAAUAAUAGAGAUUGGCAUCACUUUCUCGCUUAUAUCUUCUUCCGGCACUGCUCAGCUCCUUCUCUCUUGCAGAUUAUCAUGUUUCUUUAAUGUGGCUUUUAAGCACCUUGUUUCCUUUAUUUUAGUGUUUCGGUUAAGUUGUUGUCUCAAACUUUGACUCCGGUAGGUUUUUUUACCUCACCGGCUUAUGGCUCCGGAAAGGUUACAUACCUUUGGUUACAUACCUUUGUCGGCUCAGUGUAAUGCUUGGUUGAAUCUAAUAUAAAUCCAUCAGAUGACAAA